GGUGCCGCCCUCCAGGCCCGCCCCAUAGGCGGUGACGAGGCCGGGGUCUCCCGCCUGCCCGGGGUCCCCAACGCGGACCUUAAAGGGGCUCCCCGGGAUGUGGGCGCCGUCGAAUUUCACGUCGAUGGAAUAAACGCCGUUCUCCCGCGGGAUGAAACGCACGGCGUAUUUAUCUUCGGUGACCUCGGAGAUGUGGCACUCCUCCACGGCUCCGGACGGGCUGUGAACUUUGGCAUCCAGGGCCCCUUUGGCCCCAUUGAGGCUGACGGCGAAGGAGGCGGGUUGGUGCACCUUCAGCCCCG
rnacentral:lncRNA from 1 species